UGAGUAAUGUCUGGGAAACUGCCUGAUGGAGGGGGAUAACUACUGGAAACGGUAGCUAAUACCGCAUAACGUCGCAAGACCAAAGUGGGGGACCUUCGGGCCUCAUGCCAUCAGAUGUGCCCAGAUGGGAUUAGCUAGUAGGUGGGGUAAUGGCUCACCUAGGCGACGAUCCCUAGCUGGUCUGAGAGGAUGACCAGCCACACUGGAACUGAGACACGGUCCAGACUCCUACGGGAGGCAGCAGUGGGGAAUAUUGCACAAUGGGCGCAAGCCUGAUGCAGCCAUGCCGCGUGUAUGAAGAAGGCCUUCGGGUUGUAAAGUACUUUCAGCGAGGAGGAA
rnacentral:rRNA from 1 species